UCCAUGGCCGCUCCGGCCGCCGCCGCCAAAACUCCGUCAGGGAAAACUUUCCGCCGGGGCCGAGCGGCGCGCGGGCUUCGCGCUCCUCCCCCCGCGGCGCGAGGGCCGCGCAGGCGCCCGACGGGGCGGGGCGAUGGUCGGCUAGGCCCCGCCCCUGGGCCCGCCCCCGACGGCUCUGCCUCGCCACGCCUGGCCCGGCUCCUGCUCUCUCCUUCCCGAGGCUGUCCCGGUGAAGGGCGCCAUUGAGGCUCAUGGGGAUUUGAACCUGGCUUUUCUUCAUUUGGUGGUUGUGAACUCACCUUUCCGAGCAUCAUCUGUAAAAGGGGCAACAACACCCAUUCCACAGGGCUGCCGGGCCAUCACAUCGUCCCGGAGGUGGCUUGCUGGGAGCUGUCAGCCAUGAAUCCCCCGCAGAGGGGCAGCCGGCUCGUGCCCCUUCUGCCAAUCCAGGAACAGAAGCAGAAACAGAAGGUCAGAGCGGCAAGGGGCCUCCUCUGAGGUCACCGUGUCCAAACCCUCAUUUCGCAGGUAAGGAGCCUGAGGCCUAGGGAAGGGCAGGGACUUGCCCAAGGACACACAGCAAGCCAGCAUCGGAAGCCAAGUCUCUUGCUUCACAGCUUGGAUGCUUAUAAAAACCGAGAGGGAGCAGAGAAGUCUUGAAAAUAUACCGGUAUUCGAGGAGGGGUUUUAAGUGAAACUACCCUUCCUGGCCCCCUUGCAGUCAGGAGAGGCAGACCUGGCCGUCGAAGUGGGUAGAAGUGAUAUGUGUAAAACUUGGGGGAACCUGUGCUCGCUCUCUCUCUCUCUCUCCCCGUCCUGGGGUGAACUUGGACAUGAGGCGUCCGCGAUGGAAGGAAGGUGCGUUCCAGGGGGAGCAGAACCGCCCCCACUCCACCACCACAGGCAGCAAUAAACUUAGAUUGUGUUUGUUGAAUGACUGCGCUUACGGGGUCACGUUCGUCGUAGCAGCUGGCGGUGCUUCCCCUAAUACAGCCUGGAGGAAGCGGCACCAGAGCAGCCUCU